rnacentral:rRNA from 1 species
GAUGAACGCUAGCGGCAGGCCUAAUACAUGCAAGUCGAACGGUAAGGCCCUUUCGGGGGUACACGAGUGGCGGACGGGUGCGUAACGCGUAUGCAACAUGCCUUCCAGCGGGGGAUAUACCAGGGAAACUUGGCGCAAUACCCCAUAGAAUUACGGGACCGCAUGGUCUUGUGAUUAAAACUCCGGUGCUGGGAGAUUGGCAUGCGUGACAUUAGCUAGUUGGCGGGGUAACGGCCCACCAAGGCGACGAUGUCUAGCUGGUCUGAGAGGAUGAUCAGCCACACUGGAACUGAGACACGGUCCAGACUCCUACGGGAGGCAGCAGUGGGGAAUUUUGCGCAAUGGGGGAAACCCUGACGCAGCAACGCCGCGUGAGUGAUGAAGGCCUCGGUCGUAAGACGUCUGUCAGAGGAAGAAGGUACG